rnacentral:rRNA from 1 species
CGGAGUCGUGUGGUUUAAUUCGUUGCUACACGAAGAACCUUACCUGGGUUUGACAUAUAGGUUGUAGGGAACUGAAAGGGACCGACCCUUCGGGAGCCUAUACAGGUGUUGCAUGGCUGUCGUCAGCUCGUGUCGUGAGAUGUUCGGUUAAGUCCGCUAACGAGCGCAACCCUCGUCGUAUGUUAUAUGUGUCAUACGAGACUGCCGGUAAAAGCCGGAGGAAGGUGAGGAUGAUGUCAAGUCAGCAUGACCUUUAUAUCCAGGGCUACACACACGCUACAAUGGUCUGUACAAUGGGUAGCCAAGCCGCGAGGCGGAGCCAAUCCUGAAAGCAGGCCUCAGUUCAGAUUGCAGUCUGCAACUCGACUGCAUGAAGCCGGAGUUGCUAGUAACCGCAGGUCAGCAAUACUGCGGUGAAUACGUUCCCGGGUCUU